rnacentral:lncRNA from 1 species
GGAAGAUGGCUGGGAGAGAGCAGUGCAAAGAGCCCACGGGGGGCAGAGAGAGAGAGAAGCAGCCUGCUGUGACACCUGGCAAACCCAGGCCCCACAGCUGGCUAGCGGGACAUCCGUGUCCACGAUUGGCGCCGUGUGUUUUAAGUUGCAGCGUCAAAAACAUGAAGAGAUUGCUUUAGCAAAUAUUUUACUGCCCCCAGCUGAUAGAUAAGAGAGGGUCAAGUGAGGAGGUGGCAGAGCUGGGACUUACCAGCUCUGAGUCUGUGUGCUCACCCUCUACUACCUUUUUUUUUUUGUUGUUUGUUUUUGAGACAGCCUCGCUCUGUUGCCCUUGCUGGAAUGCAGUAGCACGAUCUCGGCUCACUGCAACCUCCGCCUCCUGGGUUCAAGCAAUUCUCUUGCCUCAGCCUCCCAAGUAGCUGGAUUACCGGUGUGCACCACCACGCUAAUUUUGUAUUUUUAGUAGAGAAGGGGAUUCACCACGUUGGUCAGGCUAGUCACGAGCUUCUGACCUCAAGUGAUCCACCAACCUUGGUCUCCCAAAGUGUUGGGAUUACAGGCGUGAGCCACCAUGCCUGUCCUUUUUUUUUCUUUUUUCCUUUUUUUCUUUUUUUUUUUUUUGAGACGGAGUCUCGCUCUGUCGC